UUCUUAUUUAGAGUUUGAUCCUAGCUCAGGGUGAACGCUGGCGGCGUGGAUAAGGCAUGCAAGUCGAACGGGUUUAGACCCGUGGCAGACGAGGUAGUAACGCGUAGGUACGUACCCCAUAGUCAGGGAUAUGCUGUCGAAAGGCAGUGCAAUACCUGAUGGUCCCGCAAGGGUAAAGAUUUAUCGCUAUGGGAGCGACCUGCGUAAUAUCAGCUUGUUGGUAAGGUAAUGGCUUACCAAGGCUACGACGUUUAGGGGAGGUGAGAGCCUGACCCCCACCGAUGGGACUGAGACACGGCCCAUACUCCUACGGGAGGCCGCAGUCGAGAAUCUUCCGCAAUGGACGAAAGUCUGACGGAGCGACGCCGCGUGGUGGAUGAAGCACUUCGGUGCGUAAACACCUUUUAUGAGGGAUGAAGUUUAUUGACAGUACCUCAUGAAUAAGGGGCUCCUAAUUCUGUGCCAGCAGGAGCGGUAAUACAGAAGCCUCAAGCGUUACCCGGAAUCACUGGGCGUAAAGGGUCCGUAGGUGGUUAUAUUAGUCUCUCGUUAAAUCUAUAGGCUCAACCUAUAGUCUGCGGGGGAAACGGUAUAACUAGAGGAUAUAAGAGGUUGAGGGAACUCAUGGUGUAGGGGUGAAAUCCGUUGAUAUCAUGGGGAACACCAAAGGCGAAGGCACUCAACUGGUAUAUUCCUGACACUGAUGGACGAAACCUAGGGUAGCGAAUGGGAUUAGAUACCCCAGUAGUCCUAGGCCUAAACGCUGCUCGCUCGUUUUUGGGAGUAUCGACCCUCUCAGAGACUAAGCUAACGCGGUAAGCGAGCCGCCUGGGUAGUACGAUCGCAAGGUUAAAACUCAAAGGAAUAGACGGGGACUUGCACAAGCGGUGGAUCAUGCGGCUUAAUUCGUCGCUAAGCGAAGAACCUUACCAGGGUUAGAAAUCCAGCUGCAUACUCUCAGAAACGAGAGUAGCCUUAGAGGGUGCUGGACAGGUGAUGCAUGGCCGUCGUCAGUUCGUGGUUUGAACUGUUCCCUUAAGUGGGGUAACGAACGCAACCCUCGUUGCCUGUUAUAAGUGUCAGGCGAGACUGCUCCCUCACGGGAGAGGAAGGUGGGGAUGACGCCAGGUCAGCAUGUCCCUAGAUACCCUGGGCUGCACGCGUGAUACAAUGGUUGGUACAAUGAGUCGCAAUGGGGUAACCCGGAGCAAAUCUAUAAAACCAAUCUCAAUCCGGAUUGAGGUCUGAAACUCGACCUCAUGAAGUUGGAAUCGCUAGUAAUCGUGGGUCAGCAACACCACGGUGAAUACGUUCUCAAGUCUUGUACUCACCGCCCGUCAAGUCAAGGGAGUUGGGGGUGCCCGAUGU
rnacentral:rRNA from 1 species